rnacentral:rRNA from 1 species
GGGGUGAGGAGGGCAUUUGGGUGUUGCAAAGUGAUCCAGUCAAGCCAUGGAGAUUGUUCUGGAUUAAGAGCUUUGACAGCGAAUUUCAUGAGCAAGCAUUUGUUCUGUUUAUGCAGGUUUUUUAGGCCUAGACCACCACACAUUUUUGGUUUACAGACAUUUUUCCAGGCAACUAGACAUUGAGCACCAGUACAAGUUUCUUCUGCAGCCCAGAAGAAAGCACGUCUAAUGGAAUCGAGGGUUUUAAGAACGCUUUUGGGAAUGAGGAAGACAGACAUAAAAUAGACCAAGAUUGAAUCUAGGACUGCAGAUAGUAAUAUGAGCCUGUCUCCUUUGGAGAGGAGCUUUGCCCGCCAACCUGUUAAGAAUUUUCGACAUCGUUUGAUGAUGGGUAGGAAGGCGUUUGAAGGCAGGCGAGUGGGUGCUAAGGGUAGGCCUAAAUAGAUCUGUGGGAAGGAGGAGGUUGUGCAUUGCAUGGUAGAUGCAAUGGAUGCCGACAGUAUAGGUGCGACAUGCAUAGGCACUAACGUUGUUUUGGUGAAGUUGAUAGAGAGGCCGGUUGCCCGAGCGAAGUCCUGUAGAAUGUUUUUUAACUGUUGGGCGCCGUCAUUUGAUGCUUUAGCGAUGAUUAGGGUGUCAUCAGCGUAUUGUAGGAGAGUUGGCGGGAGAUGUGAGAAAAGCGGGUGGCUAAGGUGUGAUAGAUUGCAGUCUUGUUGUAUCAUUUGCUGCAGAAGAUCAGCAACGAUGAUGAAUAGGUAGGGUGAGAUGGGGUCACCCUGUCGGAGGCCGUUUUUGCAGUUAAUCCAGUUACCGGGGAUCCCAUUGAGCAUAACAGCAGUUUUUCCGGUGGAGAGAAGGUCGUGGAUCCAUGCGGUGAAUUUUUGCGGGAAACCACGGCAGUUUAGUAUGGAUAUAAGGGAGUCCCAGGAGAGUGAGUCGAAAGCUUUGCUAAAAUCCAACUUGAUUACCAUUGUUGGAGCCUUUCUGGAGUGGCAGGCA